GUUUCCGGAUGAUAACUCAAGAACGCUUAGGCCUAGGAUCAUGAACCUUCAUAGGUACAUUGAUCAUGACUGGCAUAUGACCCCUAUUGAUUUUCAGGUCACUAGGUCAAAGGUCAAGGUCACAGUGACUCGAAACAGUAAAAUGGUUUCCGGAUGAUAACUCAAGAAUGCUUACGCCUAGGAUCAUGAAACUUCAUAGGUACAUUGAUCAUGACUGGCAGAUGACCCCAAUUGAUUUUCAGGUCACUAGGUCAAAGGUCAAGGUCACAGAGACUGGUAAUAGUAAAAUGGAUUCCGGAUGAUAACUCAAGAAUGCUUACGCCUAGAAUCAUGAAACUUCAUAGGAACAUUGAUAAUGACUGGCAGAUGACCCCUAUUAAUUUUCAGGUCACUAGGUCAAAGGUCAAGGUCACAGUGACUCGAAGUAGUAAAAUGGUUUCCGGAUGAUAACUCAAGAAUGCUUACGCCUAGGAUCAUGAAACUUCAUAGGUACAUUGAUCAUGACUGGCAGAUGACCCUUAUUGAUUUUCAGGUCACUAGGUCAAAGGUCAAGGUCA